AGAAGCACUUCAGCAGUCGGCUUCUUCUACACUCUCUCUGCCUGAAACGCAUGUGUGAAGAUGGACAUAAGGACGUUUUUAGACAAAAAGUACAACAACAGAAUCCCAGCUUUGAUUAGACUGGUGUUGACUCAGAUUUCCCAAAGAUGGAGAAAGAAGGAGGCAGUGGAAAGUUGCCCUAAGAAGUGUCUGCGACUACCUCAGAGCUGACGCUCAGUGGUGUCAUGAUCAAAGCUGUCAGCAAGGAUUUGUUGCGCGGCGAGCCACGACUAAGCUGUCCUGUGAUGUCUGCCGUGCCAGCCUGGUGAUGGAUGCUGCAUCUGCCUGUGAUGACCAGAGCUACCAUUUGCUAACUCUGAAGAACAACGGGGGUCUUGUGGUCCCAUCUGAAGGUACUGUGAGGGUCAUCAGAGCAGCAGAGUGGGCAAUUCGCCAGGCAUCAGUGGGCAGAUGAUCACA